rnacentral:rRNA from 1 species
GGGUUGUGAGGUUAAGCGACUAAGCGUACACGGUGGAUGCCCCGGCAGUCAGAGGCGAUGAAGGACGUGCUAAUCUGCGAAAAGCGUCGGUAAGGUGAUAUGAACCGUUAUAACCGGCGAUGUCCGAAUGGGGAAACCCAGUGCAAUUCGUUGCACUAUCGUUAACUGAAUACAUAGGUUAACGAGGCGAACCGGGGGAACUGAAACAUCUAAGUACCCCGAGGAAAAGAAAUCAACCGAGAUUCCCCCAGUAGCGGCGAGCGAACGGGGAGCAGCCCAGAGUCUGAAUCAGCUUGUGUGUUAGUGGAACGGUCUGGAAAGUCCGACGGUACAGGGUGAUAGUCCCGUACACCAAAAUGCACAGGCUGUGAACUCGAAGAGUAGGGCGGGACACGUGGUAUCCUGUCUGAAUAUGGGGGGACCAUCCUCCAAGGCUAAAUACUCCUGACUGACCGAUAGUGAACCAGUACCGUGAGGGAAAGGCGAAAAGAACCCCGGCGAGGGGAGUGAAAAAGAACCUGAAACCGUGUACGUACAAGCAGUGGGAGCACCUUCGGGUGUGACUGCGUACCUUUUGUAUAAUGGGUCAGCGACUUAUAUUCUGUAGCAAGGUUAACCGUAUAGGGGAGCCGCAGGGAAACCGAGUCUUAACUGGGCGUUAAGUUGCAGGGUAUAGACCCGAAACCCGGUGAUCUAGCCAUGGGCAGGUUGAAGGUUGGGUAACACUAACUGGAGGACCGAACCGACUAAUGUUGAAAAAUUAGCGGAUGACUUGUGGCUGGGGGUGAAAGGCCAAUCAAACCGGGAGAUAGCUGGUUCUCCCCGAAAGCUAUUUAGGUAGCGCCUCGUGAAUUCAUCUUCGGGGGUAGAGCACUGUUUCGGCUAGGGGGUCAUCCCGACUUACCAACCCGAUGCAAACUACGAAUACCGAAGAAUGUUAUCACGGGAGACACACGGCGGGUGCUAACGUCCGUCGUGAAGAGGGAAACAACCCAGACCGCCAGCUAAGGUCCCAAAGUCAUGGUUAAGUGGGAAACGAUGUGGGAAGGCACAGACAGCCGGGAUGUUGGCUUAGAAGCAGCCAUCAUUUAAAGAAAGCGUAAUAGCUCACUGGUCGAGUCGGCCUGCGCGGAAGAUGUAACGGGGCUAAACCAUGCACCGAAGCUGCGGCAGCGACACUAUGUGUUGUUGGGUAGGGGAGCGUUCUGUAAGCCUGCGAAGGUGUGCUGUGAGGCAUGCUGGAGGUAUCAGAAGUGCGAAUGCUGACAUAAGUAACGAUAAAGCGGGUGAAAAGCCCGCUCGCCGGAAGACCAAGGGUUCCUGUCCAACGUUAAUCGGGGCAGGGUGAGUCGACCCCUAAGGCGAGGCCGAAAGGCGUAGUCGAUGGGAAACAGGUUAAUAUUCCUGUACUUGGUGUUACUGCGAAGGGGGGACGGAGAAGGCUAUGUUAGCCGGGCGACGGUUGUCCCGGUUUAAGCAUGUAGGCUGGUUGUCCAGGCAAAUCCGGAUAAUCAAGGCUGAGGUGUGAUGACGAGGCACUACGGUGCUGAAGUAACAAAUGCCCUGCUUCCGGGAAAAGCCUCUAAGCAUCAGGUAACAUCAAAUCGUACCCCAAACCGACACAGGUGGUCAGGUAGAGAAUACCAAGGCGCUUGAGAGAACUCGGGUGAAGGAACUAGGCAAAAUGGUGCCGUAACUUCGGGAGAAGGCACGCUGGUGUGUAGGUGAAGCCCCUGCGGGUGGAGCUGAGACCAGUCGAAGAUACCAGCUGGCUGCAACUGUUUAUUAAAAACACAGCACUGUGCAAACACGAAAGUGGACGUAUACGGUGUGACGCCUGCCCGGUGCCGGAAGGUUAAUUGAUGGGGUUAUCCGUAAGGAGAAGCUCUUGAUCGAAGCCCCGGUAAACGGCGGCCGUAACUAUAACGGUCCUAAGGUAGCGAAAUUCCUUGUCGGGUAAGUUCCGACCUGCACGAAUGGCGUAAUGAUGGCCGGGCUGUCUCCACCCGAGACUCAGUGAAAUUGAACUCGCUGUGAAGAUGCAGUGUACCCGCGGCAAGACGGAAAGACCCCGUGAACCUUUACUAUAGCUUGACACUGAACAUUGAGCCUUGAUGUGUAGGAUAGGUGGGAGGCUUUGAAGCGUGGACGCCAGUCUGCGUGGAGCCAACCUUGAAAUACCACCCUUUAAUGUUUGAUGUUCUAACGUUGGCCCCUGACCGGGGUUGCGGACAGUGUCUGGUGGGUAGUUUGACUGGGGCGGUCUCCUCCCAAAGCGUAACGGAGGAGCACGAAGGUUAGCUAAUCUCGGUCGGACAUCAGGAGGUUAGUGCAAUGGCAUAAGCUAGCUUGACUGCGAGCGUGACGGCGCGAGCAGGUGCGAAAGCAGGUCAUAGUGAUCCGGUGGUUCUGAAUGGAAGGGCCAUCGCUCAACGGAUAAAAGGUACUCCGGGGAUAACAGGCUGAUACCGCCCAAGAGUUCAUAUCGACGGCGGUGUUUGGCACCUCGAUGUCGGCUCAUCACAUCCUCGGGGCUGAAGUAGGUCCCAAGGGUAUGGCUGUUCGCCAUUUAAAGUGGUACGCGAGCUGGGUUUAGAACGUCGUGAGACAGUUCGGUCCCUAUCUGCCGUGGGCGCUGGAGAAUUGAGGGGGGCUGCUCCUAGUACGAGAGGACCGGAGUGGACGCAUCACUGGUGUUCGGGUUGUCAUGCCAAUGGCACUGCCCGGUAGCUAAAUGCGGAAGAGAUAAGUGCUGAAAGCAUCUAAGCACGAAACUUGCCCCGAGAUGAGUUCUCCCUGAGACUUUAAGUCUCCUGAAGGAACGUUGAAGACGACGACGUUGAUAGGCCGGGUGUGUAAGCGCAGCGAUGCGUUGAGCUAACCGGUACUAAUGAACCGUGAGGCUUAACCUUACAACGCCGAAG